rnacentral:rRNA from 1 species
GAUGAACGCUGGCGGCGUGCCUAAUACAUGCAAGUCGAGCGAACAGACGAGGAGCUUGCUCCUCUGACGUUAGCGGCGGACGGGUGAGUAACACGUGGAUAACCUACCUAUAAGACUGGGAUCACUUCGGGAAACCGGAGCUAAUACCGGAUAAUAUAUUGAACCGCAUGGGUCAAUAGUGAAGACGGUUUUGCUGUCACUUAUAGAUGGAUUAGCGCCGCAUUAGCUAGUUGGUAGGUUAACGGCUUACCAAGGCAACGAUGCGUAGCCGAGGUGAGAGGGGGGUCGGCCACACGGGAGGUGGGACGGGGUCCAGGGUCCUGCGGGAGGCAGCAGUAGGGAAUGGGCCGCAGUGGGGGGGAGCCUGGCGGAGCGGGGGCGCGUGAGUGGUGAAGGUGUCGGGUGCGGGAUGCUCUGUUAUGAGGGGUGAACAGAUGUGUAAGGAGCUGUGCACGUAUUGACGGUAACGGGUCAGAAAGCCACGGCUAACUACGUG